rnacentral:rRNA from 1 species
UACGUAGGGGGCAAGCGUUAUCCGGAUUCACUGGGUGUAAAGGGAGCGUAGACGGCCAUGCAAGCCUGGAGUGAAAGCCCGGGGCCCAACCCCGGGACUGCUCUGGGAACUGUGCGGCUGGAGUGCGGGAGGGGCAGGCGGAAUUCCUGGUGUAGCGGUGAAAUGCGUAGAUAUCAGGAGGAACACCGGCGGCGAAGGCGGCCUACUGGACCGCGACUGACGUUGAGGCUCGAAAGCGUGGGGAGCAAACAGG